rnacentral:rRNA from 1 species
CCUACGGGUGGCAGCAGUGGGGAAUAUUGGGCAAUGGGGGCAAGCCUGACCCAGCAACGCCGCGUGAAGGAAGAAGGCUUUCGGGUUGUAAACUUCUUUUCGCAGGGACGAAGCAAGUGACGGUACCUGAGGAAUAAGCCACGGCUAACUACGUGCCAGCAGCCGCGGUAAUACGUAGGGGGCAAGCGUUAGCCGGAUUUACUGGGUGUAGAGGCCGUGUAGGCGGGACUGCAAGUCAGAGGUGAAAACCAUGGGCUCAACCUAUGGCCUGCAUUUGAAACUGUAGUUCUUGAGUACUGGAGAGGCAGACGGAAUUCCUGGUGUAGCGGUGAAAUGCGUAGAUAUUAGGAGGAACACCAGUGGCGAAGGCGGUCUGCUGGACAGCAACUGACGCUGAGGCGCGAAAGCGUGGGGAGCAAACAGGAUUAGAUACCCGAGUAGUC